GGUACAUCGGUGACAGGUGGUGGCAUGGUUGUCGUCAGCUCGUGUCGUGAGAUGUUGGGUUAAGUCCCGCAACGAGCGCAACCCCUAUUGUUAGUUGCCAUCAUUCAGUUGGGCACUCUAGCGGGACUGCCGGUAAUAAACCGGAGGAAGGUGGGGAUGACGUCAAAUCAUCAUGCCCCUUAUGACCUGGGCUACACACGUGCUACAAUGGUUGGUACAACGAGUUGCGAGUCGGUGACGGCGAGCUAAUCUCUUAAAGCCAAUCUCAGUUCGGAUUGUAGGCUGCAACUCGCCUACAUGAAGUCGGAAUCGCUAGUAAUCGCGGAUCAGCACGCCGCGGUGAAUACGUUCCCGGGCCUU
rnacentral:rRNA from 1 species